rnacentral:lncRNA from 1 species
AAUUAAGGUUAAAUGAGUCGGAGUGUGGAGCCCUAAUCUAAUAGGACUGGUGUCCUUAUAAGAAAACGAAGAGACAUCAGAGAGCCCUCUCUCCACACACAGAGAAAAAGUCACGUGAGCACACAGCGAGAAGAAGGCCGUUUGCAAGCAGGAAGAGAGCCUUUACCAGAACCCAAAUUUUCUAGCAGCUUGAUUGUGGACUUGCAGCUUCCAGAACUGUUCUGGGGACUGGGACGUGGACAUCUUUGGAGGGCCAUCAACACUGAGUUCAGCCAAAGAGGAGCCUGUGUGCUGGAGCCCACCCACCCCCCAGACCCAGAGACAGAAGGGAGGAGGGGACCAUACGGAGUUUGGUUCAGCUCCACUGGGCGGCCUCCUUGGCUCUGUCAGCCUUGCUGCUCUGCGAGGGUCUUGUCACUGAAUCAAGGAUGGUGGCAACUCAGCUGGUUUCCAGGACUUGCAAGGGAGAUAACACCCAACUUCAGCUUGGGACAAUUCUGCUUCUUCCACUUCCUAGAGAGGCGUUUCCUUCCUCCCUUCAUCCACUUCUUCUCUGAGAAGUCUCAGGUGGGAAACAGUUUCAGAACAGUGACACUUCAUCUACCUGGAGCGCAUUUACUUAGCGAAGUCAACUGUUUUGAUCCUGGCUAAAGAUCUGAAAGGAGGAGGAAGGAACCACAAGCAUUCAACAGAAGUCAUAAGCCCUUAA